GAUGAACGCUGGCGGCGUGCCUAAUACAUGCAAGUCGAGCGAAUGGAUUAAGAGCUUGCUCUUAUGAAGUUAGCGGCGGACGGGUGAGUAACACGUGGGUAACCUGCCCAUAAGACUGGGAUAACUCCGGGAAACCGGGGCUAAUACCGGAUAACAUUUUGAACCGCAUGGUUCGAAAUUGAAAGGCGGCUUCGGCUGUCACUUAUGGAUGGACCCGCGUCGCAUUAGCUAGUUGGUGAGGUAACGGCUCACCAAGGCAACGAUGCGUAGCCGACCUGGGAGGGUGAUCGGCCACACUGGGACGGAGACACGGCCCAGACUCCUACGGGAGGCAGCGGUAGGGAAUCUUCCGCAAUGGACGAAAGUCUGACGGAGCAACGCCGCGUGAGUGAUGAAGGCUUUCGGGUCGUAAAACUCUGUUGUUAGGGAAGAACAAGUGCUAGUUGAAUAAGCUGGCACCUUGACGGUACCUAACCAGAAAGCUACGGCUAACUACGUGCCAGCAGCCGCCGUAA
rnacentral:rRNA from 1 species